CCCUAUGGGGUGCAGCAGCUGAGGAAAUUUUACAAUGCUCGAAAGAGUGAUAAAGCAAGCCAGAGUGUUUCUCUUAGAGAAACUUUUGUCUGCUGUAAAAAGGCAGACGAAUAAGGACUGGGCAAGACCGGUGCCAGCCGCCGCGGUAAUACCGGCGGUCCGAGUCGCAUCCACAUUUAUUGGGUCUAAAACAUCCGUAGCUUGUUCUGUAAGUCUCUUGUGAAAUCCCAUAUCUCAAGUAUGGGGCGUGCAAGAGGUACUGCAAAGCUAGAGACCGGAAGACGUAAGGAGUACGAUUAAGGUAGCGGUAAAAUGUAUUAAUCUUAAUCGGACUAACAAUGGCGAAGGCACCUUACGAGUACGGAUCUGACAGUGAGGGAUGAAGGCUAGGGGCGCAAAAGGGAUUAGAUACCCCUGUAGUCCUAGCAGUAAACGCUGCUCACUAAACAUUAGUACCUCUUAGAGAGGUAUUGGCGCUGUAGGGAAGCCGGAGAGUGAGCUACCUGGGAAGUAUAGUCGCAAGGCCGAAACUUAAAGGAAUUGGCGGGGAGGCACUACAACGGGUGACGCGUGCGGUUUAAUUAGACUCUACACCGUGAAUCUCACCAGGAGCGACAGCAGAAUGAAGGUCAGUCUAAAGGGCUUACCUGACACGCUGAGAAGUAGUGCAUGGUCAA
rnacentral:rRNA from 1 species